AUUGAACGCUAGCGGGAUGCCUUACACAUGCAAGUCGAACGGAGUGGCGAACGGGUGAGUAAUGACUCGUAACGUGCCCAGUAGCGGGGGAUAACUACGCGAAAGCGUAGAUAAUACCGCAUACUAUUGAUGCGGCCGAUGUCGGAUUAGCUAGUUGGUGGGGUAACGGCUCACCAGGGCGACGAUCCGUAGCGGGUUUGAGAGGACGACCGGCCACACUGGGACUGAGACACGGCCCAGACUCCGACGGGAGGCAGCAGUGGGGAAUUUUGGGCAAUGGGGGAAACCCUGAUCCAGCCAUCCCGCGUGAGCGAUGAAGGCUUUCGGGUUGUAAAGCACUUUUGGCAGGGAAGCGGUACCUGCAGAAUAAGCACCGGCUAACUACGUGCCAGCCGCCGCGGUAAUAC
rnacentral:rRNA from 1 species